ACGAACGCUGGCGGCGUGCCUAAUACAUGCAAGUCGAACGCUUCUUUUUCCACCGGAGCUUGCUCCACCGGAAAAAGAGGAGUGGCGAACGGGUGAGUAACACGUGGGUAACCUGCCCAUCAGAAGGGGAUAACACUUGGAAACAGGUGCUAAUACCGUAUAACAAUCGAAACCGCAUGGUUUUGAUUUGAAAGGCGCUUUCGGGUGUCGCUGAUGGAUGGACCCGCGGUGCAUUAGCUAGUUGGUGAGGUAACGGCUCACCAAGGCGACGAUGCAUAGCCGACCUGAGAGGGUGAUCGGCCACAUUGGGACUGAGACACGGCCCAAACUCCUACGGGAGGCAGCAGUAGGGAAUCUUCGGCAAUGGACGAAAGUCUGACCGAGCAACGCCGCGUGAGUGAAGAAGGUUUUCGGAUCGUAAAACUCUGUUGUUAGAGAAGAACAAGGAUGAGAGUAACUGUUCAUCCCUUGACGGUAUCUAACCAGAAAGCCACGGCUAACUACGUGCCAGCAGCCGCGGUAAUACGUAGGUGGCAAGCGUUGUCCGGAUUUAUUGGGCGUAAAGCGAGCGCAGGCGGUUUCUUAAGUCUGAUGUGAAAGCCCCCGGCUCAACCGGGGAGGGUCAUUGGAAACUGGGAGACUUGAGUGCAGAAGAGGAGAGUGGAAUUCCAUGUGUAGCGGUGAAAUGCGUAGAUAUAUGGAGGAACACCAGUGGCGAAGGCGGCUCUCUGGUCUGUAACUGACGCUGAGGCUCGAAAGCGUGGGGAGCAAACAGGAUUAGAUACCCUGGUAGUCCACGCCGGAAACGAUGAGUGCUAAGUGUUGGAGGGUUUCCGCCCUUCAGUGCUGCAGCUAACGCAUUAAGCACUCCGCCUGGGGAGUACGACCGCAAGGUUGAAACUCAAAGGAAUUGACGGGGGCCCGCACAAGCGGUGGAGCAUGUGGUUUAAUUCGAAGCAACGCGAAGAACCUUACCAAGUCUUGACAUCCUGCUGACCGUUCCUUAACCGGAAUUUUCCUUCGGGACAGCAGAGACAGGUGGUGCAUGGUUGUCGUCAGCUCGUGUCGUGAGAUGUUGGGUUAAGUCCCGCAACGAGCGCAACCCUUAUUGUUAGUUGCCAUCAUUUAGUUGGGCACUCUAGCAAGACUGCCGGUGACAAACCGGAGGAAGGUGGGGAUGACGUCAAAUCAUCAUGCCCCUUAUGACCUGGGCUACACACGUGCUACAAUGGGAAGUACAACGAGUCGCAAAGUCGCGAGGCUAAGCUAAUCUCUUAAAGCUUCUCUCAGUUCGGAUUGUAGGCUGCAACUCGCCUACAUGAAGCCGGAAUCGCUAGUAAUCGCGGAUCAGCACGCCGCGGUGAAUACGUUCCCGGGCCUUGUACACACCGCCCGUCACACCACGAGAGUUUGUAACACCCGAAGUCGGUGAGGUAACCUUUUGGAGCCAGCCGCCUAAGGUGGGAUAGAUGAUUGGGGUG
rnacentral:rRNA from 1 species